GAUCCUGGCUUAGGAUGAACGCUAGCGGCAGGCUAACACAUGCAAGUCGAGGGACAGCGUGGAGUAGCAAUACUCUGACGGCGACCGGCGAAAGGGUGAGUAACGCGUGAGCAACAUGCCCGGUAGUGGAGAAUAGUCGAUGGAAACGUCGCGUAAUACUCCGUAACAUAGGAGACCGCAUGAUCUUCUAUUAAUAGAUUUAUCGCUACCGGAUUGGCUCGCGUACCAUUAGCUAGUUGGCGGGGUAACGGCCCACCAAGGCGACGAUGGUUAGGGGUUCUGAGAGGAAGGUCCCCCCACAUUGGAACUGAGACACGGUCCAGACUCCUACGGGAGGCAGCAGUGAGGAAUAUUGGACAAUGGCCGAGAGGCUGAUCCAGCCAUGCCGCGUGCGGGAAAAGACGGCCCUAUGGGUUGUAAACCGCUUUUGUUGGGGAGCAAUAAGGUCCACGCGUGGAUCGAUGAGAGUACCCAGCGAAUAAGCAUCGGCUAACUCCGUGCCAGCAGCCGC
rnacentral:rRNA from 1 species